rnacentral:rRNA from 1 species
CCAGAGAACUUAGCAGAGAUGCUUUGGUGCCUUCGGGAACUCUGAGACAGGUGCUGCAUGGCUGUCGUCAGCUCGUGUUGUGAAAUGUUGGGUUAAGUCCCGCAACGAGCGCAACCCUUAUCCUUUGUUGCCAGCGGUCCGGCCGGGAACUCAAAGGAGACUGCCAGUGAUAAACUGGAGGAAGGUGGGGAUGACGUCAAGUCAUCAUGGCCCUUACGAGUAGGGCUACACACGUGCUACAAUGGCGCAUACAAAGAGAAGCGACCUCGCGAGAGCAAGCGGACCUCAUAAAGUGCGUCGUAGUCCGGAUUGGAGUCUGCAACUCGACUCCAUGAAGUCGGAAUCGCUAGUAAUCGUAGAUCAGAAUGCUACGGUGAAUACGUUCCCGGGCCUUGUACACACCGCCCGUCACACCAUGGGAGUGGGUUGCAAAAGAAGUAGGUAGCUUAACCUUCGGGAGGGCGCUUACCACUUUGUGAUUCAUGACUGGGGUGAAGUCGUAACAAGGUAAGCGUAGACGU